rnacentral:lncRNA from 1 species
AUGGUAGCUGAUGACUCAGGGUCUCUGCUAUUAUUUCAGAAAAUAUCAAGCAUCACCGUAUGGCAGAAGCUAAAGGAGAAAGCGACUGCCAGUAAAAGGCUGAGACACAAUAGGAAGAGAGGCCCCGUGAUGCAGAGAGAGACCAAAGGGCUCAGUGCCCGUGCUCACACAUACACACGCUCUGUGUGUGCGCCUCUCUGUGUGUACACAGUGGACAAGAGGAAAUUAUUGUCACGGGAUCCAUCUUUAAUACAAUGGUGAUAUGUCAUAACUGAAAGGUCAUACAAAUGGUUUGCCCACUUCGCAGAGGGAGAAGGUGACUUGUUAGAGGUGAGCCGGGGAAGUCGUGGAAAGGGCAGAGCCCAGGUGAGUUCCUCAGCUCAGGGUGUGCUCGUUGACUCCCUCUGGAGUCAGUGGAGAGAGAGGCAAGAGAGGGCCGUUCUGCAGCAUUCACAGAUAAGGAAGCUGAGUUUUGGCCCUUUGCAGGGAGGAAAGGGCAGAUCCAGGUCUCCUGAGCCAUUUAUUACUCUUUUUGACACAUGAUGCUGGCUUUUGCUAAGAACCAGGGUAGUCUGCUUCCUUGAUUGGAAUUAGAGGUGGAGUCUGACAACUCACGCUCAGAAAUACAGUGCCCAUGGAAUCUUUCUAUCAUGGAAUAAUGAUAGAUACGAAAUAACAUCUAUCGUGUGUCGAGUGCUUCACUGUUUUCAGAAUCACCUCUUAUUCAUUAUCUCAGUGGGUCAGCACAAUUGCUCCAGGCGGUAGCAAGUUCAUGUUUCAAUAGCCCCAUUUUUAUGGCUCAGAAAGUAAACGACGGGCCCAAAUCACAUAUUAAGUGAGGAAACCAGAACUUGAAGCCUGGAUCUUCUGACAUCGCUGCUCUUUAUACUCCUGAUCUGUCAGCUUGCU